ACCCCAUCUGUUGAGGACAAUUUCUCAAAAGGCCUUUGUAUCUUUCCCAAGCUUCGUAUAUGGAUUCUCCAUCUUCUUGUUGAGAAUUAGCAAAUCUUUUUCUUGAGUUU